rnacentral:rRNA from 1 species
UAAAGAGCUCGUAGGUGGUUUGUCGCGUUGUUCGUGAAAUCUCACGGCUUAACUGUGAGCGUGCGGGCGAUACGGGCAGACUUGAGUACUGCAGGGGAGACUGGAAUUCCUGGUGUAGCGGUGGAAUGCGCAGAUAUCAGGAGGAACACCGGUGGCGAAGGCGGGUCUCUGGGCGGUAACUGACGCUGAGGAGCGAAAGCGUGGGGAGCGAACAGGAUUAGAUACCCUGGUAGUCCACGCCGUAAACGGUGGGUACUAGGUGUGGGUUUCCUUCCUUGGGAUCCGUGCCGUAGCUAACGCAUUAAGUACCCCGCCUGGGGAGUACGGCCGCGAGGCUAAAACUCAAAGAAAUUGACGGGGGCCCGCACAAGCGGCGGAGCAUGUGGAUUAAUUCGAUGCAACGCGAAGAACCUUACCUGGGUUUGACAUGCACAGGACGCCGGCAGAGAUGUCGGUUCCCUUGUGGCCUGUGUGCAGGUGGUGCAUGGCUGUCGUCAGCUCGUGUCGUGAGAUGUUGGGUUAAGUCCCGCAACGAGCGCAACCCUUGUCUCAUGUUGCCAGCGGGUAAUGCCGGGGACUCGUGAGAGACUGCCGGGGUCAACUCGGAGGAAGGUGGGGAUGACGUCAAGUCAUCAUGCCCCUUAUGUCCAGGGCUUCACACAUGCUACAAUGGCCGGUACAAAGGGCUGCGAUGCCGCGAGGUUAAGCGAAUCCUUUUAAAGCCGGUCUCAGUUCGGAUCGGGGUCUGCAACUCGACCCCGUGAAGUCGGAGUCGCUAG